rnacentral:rRNA from 1 species
UACGUAGGGUGCAAGCGUUGUCCGGAAUUAUUGGGCGUAAAGGGCUCGUAGGCGGUUUGUCGCGUCGGGAGUGAAAUCCACUGGCUUAACUGGUGGCUUGCUUUCGAUACGGGCAGACUGGAGGUAUGCAGGGGAGAACGGAAUUCCUGGUGUAGCGGUGAAAUGCGCAGAUAUCAGGAGGAACACCGGUGGCGAAGGCGGUUCUCUGGGCGAUGUCCUGACGCUGAGGAGCGAAAGUGUGGGAGCGAACAGG